AGUUAGAUAGCUGGAUCAUAUGGCAGUUGAAUUUCUAGUUUUCUGAGGAAUCUCCAUACUGCUUUCCAGAGUGGUUGUACCAAUUUGCAAUUCCACCAACAAU
rnacentral:pre_miRNA from 1 species